AUCUACAGCCAUGCCACCCUGAACAUACCAGAUCUCGUCGGAUCUCAGAAGCUACGCAGGGGCAGGCCAGGCCAGGUUAGUACUUGGAUGGGAGCAGGUCCCUGAGACU
ensembl:rRNA 5S_rRNA 5S ribosomal RNA